rnacentral:tRNA from 1 species
GGUUGUGGCUCAGAGGUAGAGCACUUGCCUACCAUGCAUGAGGCCCUGGGUUCAAUCCUCAGCACCA